UCCUGUGUGGCUCAGUUGUUAGAGCAUGGCGCUUGCAAAGCCAGAGUCGUGGGUUCGAUUCCCAGUAUGAAAA
rnacentral:tRNA from 1 species